UGGUUGCCAAUGUGAGUCCAGUGUUCAGUUGCGACUGAGCAGUCACUCGGGAAGUAGUGUUCCGUUUGAUCUACACAUUUUGAAAAAGUGCUUGACGAUCGGUAGCUACUGAGAGACCCAUAUCAUUGGAAAUUUCGUGAAUUCCGUAACUCGGGGAUUUUUCCAUAAGCACUGGUUUUCCGUAUUGAAUUCGACGGCAGUUCGGCUUCGGCGACAGGAGCGACGACAUCAGGAGCGACAUUAGUAGCAAAGCGGGUUCCUCAGAGCGACGAUGGAGAGAGAGAACUGACAUCCACGAGUCUCUUUAAAGAUCCACUCCUCUCCAUCCUGUUCCGAUAGAGAUGGGUCUGCAACACAUGAGACGUACAACUCCUUUUUUUUUGCGGAGGUAUGUUUCAUUUGAUUUAUCCCUUUCGAGAGUCCCUAUAGUAUAUUCCAACAUUCAGAGUCUGCGUAUAUGAAUUGCACCCCCUUGGAGAAAAUUUUCGAAGUCCUCAUAAAAUCAGAUCA